CGCAUAUUUUGCGAUGGCGGAGCUCGACCGCCGGUCGAAGUGAUGGUCGGGUUCAUCGACGAUCAGCGAGGGAAGCACGGGGCUUGGCCAUCGCGGCGCCAUCGGUCCGAGCCCGAUGGACAAGGCCGAUCUGCAGGGUUCUGCCGAUCGCCCCG
rfam:Paracoccus sp. SM22M-07 scaffold11, whole genome shotgun sequence.